GCCAGGCAUGGUGAUGCACGCCUGUAAUCCCAGUGGCUCAGAAGGCUGAGGCAGGAGAAUCGCAAAUUCAGAUCCAACUGCAGCAGUUUAGUGUGGCCUUAAGCAACUUAGUGAGACCCUGCCUCAA
rnacentral:sRNA from 1 species